ACGCACGCUGGCGGCGUGCUUCACCCCUGCCAGUCGCACGGAAAGGCCCUGCUUUUGUGGGGUGCUCGAGUGGCGAACGGGUGAGUAACACGUGAGUAACCUGCCCUUGACUUUGGGAUAACUUCAGGAAACUGGGGCUAAUACCGGAUAGGAGCUCCUGCUGCAUGGUGGGGGUUGGAAAGUUUCGGCGGUUGGGGAUGGACUCGCGGCUUAUCAGCUUGUUGGUGGGGUAGUGGCUUACCAAGGCUUUGACGGGUAGCCGGCCUGAGAGGGUGACCGGCCACAUUGGGACUGAGAUACGGCCCAGACUCCUACGGGAGGCAGCAGUGGGGAGUGUUGCACAAUGGGCGGAAGCCUGAUGCAGCAACGCCGCGUGCGGGAUGACGGCCUUCGGGUUGUAAACCGCUUUCGCCUGUGACGAAGCGUGAGUGACGGUAAUGGGUAAAGAAGCACCGGCUAACUACGUG
rnacentral:rRNA from 1 species